rnacentral:tmRNA from 1 species
GGGGGUGACCGGUUUUGACAGCAGGUAGAGUUUGAUUGUAAGCACGCCGAGCAUUGUGUGGGGUCUCGUAAAUCGCAACACUCAAACUACAAAUGGCAAUAAUAGCUAUG